GAUGAACGCUGGCGGCGUGCUUAACACAUGCAAGUCGAACGGUGAAGGCGGAGCUUGCUCUGCUGGAUCAGUGGCGAACGGGUGAGUAACACGUGAGCAAUCUGCCCCUGACUCUGGGAUAAGCGCUGGAAACGGCGUCUAAUACUGGAUACGAGCUGCGAAGGCAUCUUCAGCAGCUGGAAAGAAUUUCGGUCAGGGAUGAGCUCGCGGCCUAUCAGCUUGUUGGUGAGGUAAUGGCUCACCAAGGCGUCGACGGGUAGCCGGCCUGAGAGGGUGACCGGCCACACUGGGACUGAGACACGGCCCAGACUCCUACGGGAGGCAGCAGUGGGGAAUAUUGCACAAUGGGCGAAAGCCGGAUGCAGCAACGCCGCGUGAGGGACGACGGCCUUCGGGUUGUAAACCUCUUUUAGCAGGGAAGAAGCGAAAGUGACGGUACCUGCAGAAAAAGCGCCGGCUAACUACGUG
rnacentral:rRNA from 1 species